GUCUGUGGACAGAGAAGGCUGGGCAGUGAGGCUGCCUCCCAGACCGGCCAGCAUCUCUCCCCUGGAGACCACAGUGUGCUGAGAAGAAGGGGUUUCUGCACAAGGGUCCCCUCCCUCAUCCCCUGGGGUGGGACCCUGGCAGAGCCCAGGGUCUGAUGGUCACCCUGGACUCCAGCCCCACACAGGGCUGGUCACAGGACACAAGGACAGAGCACCAAGGAAAAGCACAGCCCCACAGCGGCUGGGGGUCACCUUGAAGUGGGGCCAUCCCGAGUCCAUGUUACUGUGUGACCCAGCAGCCUAGGCCACGCCCUGCGGCCCCACUCGCUACCUUCGGACACAAAGCGGACAUUCUCCUCGUGGGCCAGUGUGAAGGGAGGAGACAGACAUCGUUGGUGCCUGCCCCGGGCCCGGUGCUGCCUGGCACCCCUGAGCCAGCUCACUGUCCCCAGACCCGGCCAGCCUACGCACUUCCUGAACCAGAGAGAGCAGCAGCCGGUGGCCCAGGCCUCUCUCCUGCAGGCCCCCCACGGUCAGCAGCUCAGCUUACACCUGCAGCCCUUCACCCUGAGGGAAGUGAGUGACUGUGGGGGCCCCGAUCUUUGUGUCCCAGACCCCUGGUCGGGCCACACUCAGUACCUGUGCUGCCACCUGCAACGCACCAGCAGCUUCAUUUCUGACCUUGGCCAUGACCAGGUCUGUCUGUCCCAACCCCCCACUCUGGGUACAGUUCUAGGCCACCUUCUUGACCCACAGAAGUGCCUCCAUCUCCGUGACGUUUCCCUCCGUGGACAAAUGCACCUGAACGGGAAUGGGGGGCCUUUGCCAGUGCCUCUCCCUGGCUCCCCCCAGGCCUCACGGGCUGAGCACAGGGUGCUGGUAUGGACAGUCUCCCAUGGGGGAGAGUGACUACGACCCUCACCCACGCCCCAAGGGCCCGAGACAAGGGGUGAUGCAGAAGGAGAUGGCUCCCGCGGUGCUACACGCAACGGCUAGCAGGCCCCUGGGCCUGUCCCGGCCAGGCGGCCCCAGGUGGCCAAACCUUGAGCACACAGAGCCCGGGACAGGGCCAUGGAGGGAAUGGGGCCCGCACCUACAGCCGGAGGUGGGAGCCGGGAGUCCUGGGCUGUGCCUGCCGCUCCGCCAGGCACUCGCGGUCCCGGCCGGCCUGCUUGCCUUCCUGGGCUCAGCUGCCCCGGCGCCGCUCUGGGUUCCUCCUCAGGUGAGAGGGGCACUAAAAUAAAGAGGAGCGUCUUGAGGGGCACAGGGUCCCUCCGGCCCCGGGGCUGGCAGGGUCUGGUGGUUGCAGAGGAUCUUAAAAUGUGCAAGUGGAGAUAGGAUGGGGGCAGGGGCACCUCCCAGGCCUGCCUACUGCCUGAGUUUCUGCACAAACCAGAGGGAAUACACUGCGUCCAUUUGGAAAGCCCCCUUGCCUACAACUCACUCCCACCCGGAAGGCUGAAAACUCCAAGAAAGCUUGGAGGUCGGAUUACCAAGGCAUAAGAACAGGAAAUUGCCAGGGGCUGCGAAGUGCAGCGGGAGGUGGGGCUGAGAUGGGCCCCAGGAGGCACCGCCCCAGGGGCUCUGGUUACGUAAGGUCUCUGGCUGCUCUCUGGGGUAAAGGGCACCCGCCAACCUCUCCCACUUCCAGGAACACUGCUCCAGGCAAACUUGAGCCCAGGGAGCCAGUGUGGGCAUUCUCUCUAUCCCCUCCACACCCACCCCUCUUCAGCCCACCAGGUGGGCUCGGGAGAGAAUCGUCCUGACCAUGUCACAUGCUGAGCAGCACCAGGAAAUCACAGCAAGUCCAACAAGAGUCCACACCCUGACCCAGCACAGCCCCAAGCCAGCCCCCUGGCCUGGCCUGCCCUCACCGGACCCAGACCCCCUGCCUCAGGCGGGCUGCCCCUUCUGGCCCUGUGGGGUUUAUCCCACUGUCCCUUCCUAUGGCAGCCCCCCAUGCCCCCCAUACGCCCUGCAGGCGGGUGAUCACCUGCUACUUGAUUCCUAUCGCCUCAGUUUAUCUUACUGUCUCUCCCACCAGGAGGAAGAACUUGUCAAAGGCGUAUCCGGGACUGGAGCAGUGUGGCUCACGCCUAUAAUCCCAGCACUUUGGAUUGCCUGAGGGCAGGAGUUCAAGACCAGCCUGGCCAACAUGGUGAAACCCUGUCUCUACUAACAAUACAAAAAUUAGCCAGGCAUGGUGGCAGUGCCCAGACCUGUGCCUGGCAGGAACUGGAGCCAGCACACAUGGUGGGUGACAAGCCUUGACCCUCCACGUGCACCAGGGACCUCACAUCCCACUCCCGAGACCCGUCAGUGAGGGGUGAGGAGCAGCAAAGGGUACCAAGAAGAACAGGCAUGGCAGGCCGGGAGCAGAGGCCACACCUGUAAUCCCAGCACUUCCAGAGGCCAAGGCGAGACCCAGGAGUUAAAUACUAGCCUGGGCAACACAGUGAGACCCCUGUCUGCAUAAAACUUAAAAAUUAGCCAGGUGUGGUGGUGCUGGCCUGUUGUACCAGCUACUCAGGACGUUGAGAGGUGGGAGGAUCGCUUGAGCCUGGGAGGUUGAGGCUGCACUGAGCCACGACUGCACCACUGCACCCACCCUGGGUGACAGAGCAAGACCUUGUCUCAGAAAGAAAAAUAAAUGAAGUAAAAGGCAGGGAGGUGGGUAGCAGCAUGGGGUGGGACAGUUCAGAGGAAGGUGGUGGCCCCAAGAAGGUGCAGGAGCAGGGCGGGGGCUUCAUGCAGAUGCCCCACUGCUGCCAGAGGCAGCCAGAAGCUGCCGGCACUGGGACCUAGGGGUGGGAAGGUGGGUGACCCCAAGAAGAGGACAGCACAUACCCUGCCCUGCCCAGGGCACCUCCAGCCCCGCUGCACAUGGGGUGAAGCCCCCUCAACCUCCCACAUGUCCCACUAGCUGGAUGACAGAGGUCCUCAGAUGGGGGCUUUAAGAGACAACAGGCUGGGUGCAGUGGCUCACCCCUGUAAUCCCAGCACUUAGGGAAGCUGAGGUGGGCAGAUCACAAGGUCAGGAGAUUGAUACCAUCCUGGCUAACAUGGUGAAACCCUGUUUCUACUAAAAGUACAAAAAUCAGGCUGUGGAGGUGGCUCACACGUGUAAUCUAAGCCCUUUGGGAGGCCGAGGCCGGUGGAUCACCUGAGGUCAGGAGUUGCAGACCAGCCUGACCAACAUGGUGAAACCCCCUCUCUACAAAAAUUAGACAGGCAUGGUGGUUCGUGCCUGUAAUCCCAGCUACUUGGCAGGCUGAGGCAGGAGAAUCGCUUGAACCCGGGAGGCAGAGAUUGCAGUGAGCUGAGAUCGUGCCACUGCACUCCAGCCUGGGCAGCGAGAUUGAAAUUCCAACUCAAAAAAAAAAAAUGAGACGACAGCCAGUGGACCUGGCAUUGCCCACGGGGACCCUUGGGGUACCAUGAAGAACUCGGGGAAGCGUUUCCAUCUUCCCUAACUCCUUGCAACUGUGCCACAGCCUUGCCCCUGCUCUCCCUAGCACUGGGGUCCUGGAGAGGGAAGGAAGGUGGUUCCUUCAGGUUAAGAGAGGGUGUCACCCUGGGCCACUCCAGCCUCAUGAUCCCUGCCUGCCUGGGGGGCCAGGUGGUGGCUGCACACCUCGGUUUCCUCCUUUGGGAGGCAGAGCGGUAGGGAAGAGCAAGCAUGAUCGUCCCAGUUGGGACACCUGGGGCCCACUCACUUCCCACUGGAAGGCACCUCUGGUCUAGGCCACUCACCUCACUAGGAUGGAGUCCCGCAGAGCCCCACCCCGCUGAAGCCUCAAACACUUGUCCCCCCACAGGCUUCCACCUGUGCCACCUGAGGCCAGGAAACUGAGACGUGGGGGAGGAAGGCUGAGGGAGGCUCGGCACCCCCCACCUGUCGCUGCCCUGAACUCCUGGACUGAGCUCUCCUCCGGCGGCCCUUCCCAGCACCCCAGGCCAGGGCCCUGCCACCUCCAGAAGCCUUCGGGCCGACUUGGGGCCGCAGCAAAGCCCACAGGCCUGGGGGACGCACAGGACAAAUGAAAGGAACGGCGGAGGCGCUGAGCCAGUCACGCGUCCAGCCCCGCGGGGCUGUCCAACCUCUGGGUCACGGUCAGGGGAGGCCACAGUGGCCGGACUGAGGCUCCUGUGGUCUCCCGACCGCACUGGUUUGGGAAAGGCCGAAGCAUCGGCAGGGCAGGAGGCCAGGGCGGAGGAAGGCAGCGGCCCUGCCCGAGGGAAGCACACGCACUUGUGCCCCGCCGAGCUCUGCAAGGACAGAGCCGGGAGACCUUGAGGAGAGGACCGGCGCCCUCCGCGAACCGUGGCCCGGCCUCCAGGUCGCAGGGCGCCCGCAGCCCAAGGUCGUCCGAAGCGCUGGCCUUGGCCGCUGCAGGCCCCCGCGACCCAGGAGCUGGUCGGCUUUUCCCCACCCCGCGCUGGGGGCCGGACCCGGCCAGGUGAGGCGGAAGCGCUGUGGGCAGGACCCGCGCACCCCCCGCCCCGUCCGCAGCACGUGGCCGGCCCGCACUAGCGCUUCACCAAGGUCACCCCGCGCGCCAGGGCGGCCGGCGGGGGAGGGGAGGGGAGGCCGGGCCGGGCCGGGGGCGCGCGCGUCUCACCUCGACAGGGGCCAGGGUCCCGGCGGCUGCGCGAAGGGCUGCGCCCGCGGGGGCUGCGCGGUCGGCGGCGCGGGCUGCCGGCAUUUCAGGAGCUCGCCGAGCCGGCCCUCCACCUGCUGCUGCGUGGGACCUGCGGGCACCGGAGGGCGGUCAGCCCCGGCCCCGGCCCCCCACCCCGGCCCCUGUCCCCGCCCGGCCCCGGCGCACCUGUGCGGCGCUGCGCGACCAGCUUGCUGGGCCCCUUGGUGAUGGUGUACAUGGCGCGCCGCUCCCACACCGCCGCCGGCCCCCGGCCUGAUCCGGCCCCUGUGCCCGGGCUCGCACUUAACGGGCGGCGGGCGCUGCGGGCAGGGGGCGGGUCCGCUACACGCCCCCGGCCCUUAAAGGGCCCGCACGGGCUCGGGCCAACCGCGGCACACGCGGCGGAGGCAGCGCUCCGGCCUUUCGGGAAACUGGCAGGCGGGGGCGGAGCCGGCCACAGCCCCGCCCCGGCCCCCCAGAGGCCCAGGCGGACCCAGCGCCCUGCGCCCGCCCGGGAACGCCGUUGCUGCCUGGAAGUCAGGUAAGUCCCGGGCACCGGACUCGCGGCUGGCGGCGGGGACCCAAGGGCCCUGACCCCAGGGGUCAGCGGCGAUGUGCGAGCCGGGUCCUGGGAGGCUCGGGGCCCACUUUUGACGGGCGCUGGAGGAGAACCUGUGCUGGGGGGGUCCCUAUGCUGGGGGGUCCCAGUAUUGGGGGGCUCUGUGCUGGGGGAUCCCCGUAUUGGGGGCUCUGUGCUGGGGGUCCCUGUGUUGGGGAGACUGCCGGGGAUCCCUGUGUUGGGGGGGGCUCUGUGCUGGGGGUCCCUGUGUUGGGGGGGGCUCUGUGCUGGGGGUCCCUGUGUUGGGGGGGCUCUGUGCUGGGGAUCCCUGUGUUGGGGGGCUCUGUGCUGGGGAUCCCUGUGUUGGGGGGCUCUGUGCUGGGGGUCCCUGUGUUGGGGAGACUGCCGGGGAUCCCUGUGUUGGGGGGGCUCUGUGCUGGGGAUCCCUGUGUUGGGGGGCUCUGUGCUGGGGGUCCCUGUGUUGGGGGGUCUCUGUGCUGGGGGUCCCUGUGUUGGGGGGACUCUGUGCUGGGGGGUCCCUGUGUUGGGGGGGCUCUGUGCUGGGGGUCUGCUCAGUGCUGCGGAUCUCUGUACUGGGGUCACUGUGCUGGGGGCUCUGUGCUGGGAGCUCUGUGUUAAGGGGCUCUGUGCUUAGGGGGGUGUCCGUGGGAGCUCUAUACUGGGGGACUCUGCUGGGGGGCUCUGUGCUCGGCUGCUCUGUGCAGGGGCUGGAGACAAGGGCUUACCACUCAUACAUGGGGAGCCUCAGCCAAGGUGUCUGCAGAGGCCAGGGCCAGUGUGAAGGGUCACCCUUGGCUUGGGUCUUGGGGCUGGGUCUAAGUACAGAUAAAGAGGCUCAUCCCCCUGGACUUGAACAGAGACUCGAUGCCCUGGGAUCUCCCUUCCACCCCGGGGGUCAACCCUGGCUGCACUCUGCCCCCAUCCUGGCCCCCAUGCUCAGGUGCAUCCAGAGGCCACAUGUGUGUCUCUGUGGCCCUCGGGGGCUCCUGUACCUGCCCCAGAGACGUGAGAGUGUGGCAGGCCAGGUGUCAUUAACACAGGCCUCCAUAACAAUUGUUUCAGUACAGAGUCGUUUAGUUAAAUAUUAAAAGCUUAAAAAGCUGUCCAGGGACUGGUGGCUCAUGCCCAUAAUCCCAGCACACUGGGAGGCUGAGGCUUGUGGAUCACCUAAGGCCAGGAGUUCAAGACCAGCCUGGUCAACAUGGUGAAACCCCAUCUCUACCAAAAAUACAAAAAAUUAGCUGGACGCGUGCCUAUAAUCCCAGCUACUCAGGAAGCUGAAGCAGGAGAAUUGCCUGAACCCAGGAGGCAGAGGUUGCGGUGAGCCGAGAUCAUGACAUUGCACUUCAGCCUGGGUAACAGAGUGAGACUCCAUCUAAAAAAAAAAAAAUACAAAAGUUAUCCAGGUGUAGUGGUGUGUGCCUGUAAUCCCACCUACCCAGGAGGCUGAGGCAGGAGAAUCGCUUGAACCGAGGGGGUCGGGGCUGCAGUGAGCUGAGAUCACAUGACUGCACUCCACUCUGCGCGAAAGAGCAAGACUCAGUCUCUGAACUGAAAAAAAAAAAAAAAAAAAAGCCUGAGGCCAGGCACAGUGGCUCACGCCUGUAAUCCCAGCACUUUGGCAGGCUGAGGUGGGCAGAUCACAAGGUCCAGAGUUCGAGACCAGCCUGACCAACAUGGUGAAACCCCAUCUCUACUAAAAAUACAAAAAUGAGCCAGGUGUGGUGGCGCUCACCUGUAAUCCCAGCUACUCAGGAGGUAGAGGCAGGAGAAUCACUUGAACUCAGGAGGCGGAGGCUGCGGUCAGCCUAGACGGUGCCACUGCACUCCAGCCUGGGUGACAGAGUGAGAGUCUGUCUC